rnacentral:rRNA from 1 species
GGAAUAUUGGUCAAUGGGCGCGAGCCUGAACCAGCCAAGUAGCGUGCAGGAUGACGGCCCUAUGGGUUGUAAACUGCUUUUAUCAGGGGAUAAAGUGGGGGACGUGUCCCCCUUUGCAGGUACCUGAUGAAUAAGGACCGGCUAAUUCCGUGCCAGCAGCCGCGGUAAUACGGAAGGUCCGGGCGUUAUCCGGAUUUAUUGGGUUUAAAGGGAGCGCAGGCCGGAGGUCAAGCGUGACGUGAAAUGUAGCCGCUCAACGGCUGAACUGCGUCGCGAACUGUCAGUCUUGAGUGAGUUCGAUGUUGGCGGAAUUCGUGGUGUAGCGGUGAAAUGCUUAGAUAUCACGAAGAACUCCGAUUGCGAAGGCAGCCAACAAGGCCUUUACUGACGCUAAAGCUCGAAGGUGCGGGUAUCGAACA